rnacentral:lncRNA from 1 species
AUCAUGUAGCGCCAGCCACACCAGGAACAGAAGGGUGCCGGGUACCUUCCGCAUGCUUGGUAUUCUCCCCGCGGGGCUCUGACCGCUGCCGCUCUCAGGCACCUGUCUUUCCUCUCCGUCCCAGAAUGGAGCCAAGACAAGGGAAUAAACGAAAUUCAAUAGUACACGGAGAUCGGGUGUCUGGGCAGCGUCUUGGAAAAACUAUCCACUACAGGAGAUAGAAAAGAUGCAUGAAGACACAGAAAAGAAACUAAAGGAAACAGCUGGAAGGACUAGCAAAAAAGAGUUUUAAGAGUUGUGGAAGUUUAAACAAGAAUUUUAACAGGAUCAUAAGAGACAAAAGGAAGACCAUCCAGUGGGUUGUAUCUGUGUUUAGACAGACAAGCAUCUGGAUUCUUCAACUGACUGUCUCUACCACAUCCCCCAUGUGACCAGGCAAACAGAACAUUUUCUGAUUUUGCUGCACAGACAUUCUCCAAGCCCUGUUCCAGAUCCUCUUAGCGAGAUCUAUUGCAACUCGGUUCAGGAACAAGAGUUUGCUUGCCUCAAGAUCUUGUUGCUAUUGAUACUUCAUUGAUACUUGCUGCUGGAGCAAAGACAAAUCCCAGUGCUUGGCUAUCUGAGGAACUGUGGGAGGAAAUAAGCUGAGAAAACUAUGCCUUGGAAUAACAGAAGUCCACCCUAAAACACUAUUAUAUUAUAUUGGUGUAGUGGUGGAUACAUGAAUGUAUGCAUAUCUUAAAUCAAGCUCACACAAAAUGACUUAUUUUAUUGUAUGUAAAUUUUACCUCCAUAAAGUUUGUUAGAAAUGAUACUGUCAUAAAGAGGCUCACCACCUGUUCACUGUAUUGCUCUUCUAAUUUCUGUUCCUUUCCUUCAUGCGAUCCUCACCAGACUACAGUUCAACUGUCAAUUGGUUGAUCACCCGGAUUUUAUCUACACCUUAGCCUAUGGUUGUUCAUCUCGUCUCUGCCUAUGGCCCAUUGACUCCCGGAUCCCAGCUCCAUUCUUCGGUACUUUACGCACCCUGCUUCCAGUACCCCAACCAGAAGAAUAUAUAUAGCAGUUAACUGUCAGCUGGCGAAAAGGAGGAAAAUUCAGGAAGAUAAAAUAGCUGAAUGAAUUAUCCCCGCUCCAGAACGCAGAGGAAAAAUGAAAUGGCCAGACCCAGAUGUUAAAAAUGUGUUCCUUGCUCUUUCCUGCCCUAGCAAGGGCUGUUCCAUGUUUAGGGGAUGAAUGCCGCUGAGAGUAUUAGCAAAAAUACAUGUGUCAUUGAGUCUGAGGAAGAUAACUGAGACAUACAGGUAUUUCUCAUAAUGCAUGUGGGCAUCCAUAGACAUAUUCUUAAAUGGCUUAAGGACUUGGAAACUACCUCUAGGAAACCUGAAACUUGAAUGUUGGUCCACUAGGGAGAAGAAAUGUUCCAUUAGCCUUCCAACUAAAGAAAUACACUAUCAAGAAGAACAUUAGCUGUGUGUCCUAUAAGCUUGGGAGAAUAACUUACUUUUAUUUUAAUACAUAUGUUACUUUUAUGGUCAGUAUUUUGGUAAAAUAUAUGCUCUAUUAUGGCAGUAAUUUGUCUGUCUUAUUAAAUGCUAUAUCUGCAGUACCUUCUGUGCAUAACACAGCAAAGGAGCUCAAUAAAUAUCAUUUUGUUGCUGCCCUAAAAAGAGUUCCAGGAGCACUGGUGUGUAGAAGCUCUGGAAAUAAGGAAUGGUGUGAAUAAAUAAAUAGCUUACUUGGAAGCUCAGUGAAACCCAUGUUGGAUAAUUGCUGUGUUAACUAAUCCCAGAAAAGGGAGAAUUAGUAUCCUUGAGGACAGUCUUUUAGGAUGUGGUGAAGUGAUUGCUAUUUAUGGAUCAGGAUCUUGAGUUCUUGACCUGUUCCACCAUCCACAAUUCUGAUAACACUUCCUUCUUUAUGCUUCACUUUUUUCAUCCUAAAAUAAGGGAUUUGAGCAUAUGAUCUCCAAUUCUCUUCUAGCUCUAACAUUUUAUGACAAAGCUCCUUUAAAAUAAUUUAUUUUACACAGUCCUUAGAAAAUUAAGACUGAGAGGCCAGGCAUGGUAGCUCAAGCCUGUAAUCCCAGCACUUUGGGAGGCCGAGGCGGGUGGAUCACGAGAUCAGGAGAUCAAGACCAUCCUGACUAACACGGUGAAACCCCAUCUCUACUAAAAAUACAAAAAAAUUAGCCAGGCGUGGUGGCGGGCACCUGUAGUCCCAGCUACUCAGGACGCUGAGGCAGGAGAGUCGCGUGAACCCAGAAGGCGGAGCUUGCAGUGAGCCAAGAUCAUGCCACUGCACUCCAGCCUGGGCGACAGAGUGAGACUCUGUCUCAAAAAAAAAAAAGAAAAUUAAGACUGAGAAACGUAGAGUGAGUAUUAUAACUAAAUAGGUGGACAAUUAGAGUCAAAGACCAAAUUUUUGUUAAGUAUUACAAAGAUAAGAAUUCUUCACAUUUGAAUUGAACAUUUAAUAUUUUCAAAGUGCAUUUGCAUCCAUCUCCUUAUUUGAUUUUCAAAGCCACCAUGCAAAACUAUUUAAUACAUUGCACUAAGAAAUAGGUUUAUGGCAGGAGUUUACAAAGAAAAUUAGUGAUAAGACUAGGAUUCAAAUCUCCAGAAUCCUGUUUUAGUUUUUUUCCUUUUAAAUAUAUAUUAAGUUGCCUAGUAAAAUAUUUUACAAAUAUUUAUUUUGAAAAUAUAAUAGGGCAUUUCUGGGUUGGCCAAAACUAAGAUUCCAAUACAGCUAUGGGGACAGAAAUAGGCACCUUCCUUUCCAUGUACAUCUAUUCCAUUUGAUUUGAUUUAUAAGGUUGCUGAUAAGCCUUUUGGGAAAAUAACUGGGAUAGCAUCAAUAAUUGGAUCUCAAGCAUACACAGGAACUUUUAGAUAAUGAAGAAUCUAAUGAGAGCAAAAUAGAACAAAAAAAACCAGCUGAAUCUCACAGACAAUUUGCCCUAUAGGGAAAAAGCCUGGUGUGAAUUGGAUUUAGCAACAAAAGCUAAGGGAUUGAAGAGCAGUUCUGGGUUUUUUGUUGGUUUUAAACACAUUAGGUUCUAAGAAAUGUUGCUGUGGGACCCUUUAACAUAGUUUAACACAGAAGGGAGAAAACUGUUUCCUUUCUCACCUAGCAACUCACUGCUGCUGUGCUAUUACAACUUAGCAAGGAUUGAGAGCACUGGUAGCUGGAGGGGCUAGCAAGGAUCUGUACCUGGUGUAAAACAUGAACAUAGCAGAGGCCAGCAGCUGCGUGUAAGCAGAGCUCCAGCCGGCAUUUAGCUGCACCAGAGCCCAAGCAUGGCAGAGGCCAGCCACAGUUAGGAGAGUGAAUGACCUGGACUACUUAAUUAAUGCAUGCAAGACAUUCCUCUGGGAUUCUCAAAAAUCUUUAGGGAAUUGGAAUUCCUGCCUAAACAGGUGGUGACUUCUACUAGCAAAAUGUCAUACAGGAUUACAAGACAAUGAGUACUGUUUUCUGGAUUUUGGCUCCUCUUAAACCAUGCUGUUCUAGGUUGCUUUGUGGUUAGAAGUUUAUCUUAAACUGUCUGAAUAAUUCCUUUUUUUUUUUUGAGACAGGGUCUCACUCAGUCACCCAGGCUAGAGUGUGGUAGCGCAAUCUUGGCUCACAGCAACCUCAGCCUUUUGGAAUCAAGUGAUCCUCUCACCUCAGCCUCCUGAGUAGCCUCAGGCCCACUCCACCACACCUGGCUAAUUUUUGUUUUUGUUUUUUUUGGAGAGACGAAUUUUCACCAUAUUGCCCAGGCUGGUCUCCAGCUCUUCAGCUCAGGUGAACACCCACCUUGGCCUCCCAAAGUGCUGGGAUUACAGGCGUGAGCCACCAUGCCCGGCCUGCCUGAAUAAUUUCUAAGCUUAUUCUUAGUGAGUGAUCUUGAUUUCAACUAACUCCUGAAUACCAUGCAAUUAUUUUCUCAUUAUAUUGUUUUAAAAUAUUUCCAGUGAAGGCUGCUAACAUGCAAAUUAAACUUUGUCUGAAGUUGAAAUGAUACUUCACUAAGUUUCUGAAAAAUCCAACCAAUAAAUAUAAGCUAUUUUUUGUGUUUGCGGAUUUCCUUUGCUAAAUUUGUGUCUCAUUCACUUUCUAAAAAAAUGAAUUAUAUCAAAAAAGUUUACAAAUUUUGUUGACAGGUUUCUUCAGAAAAACAUCUGACUUUUCUACAUCGAGACCUUAUAUACUGUUUCUUAACAACACUUAAUUUUCUGAAAAGGCAGAAAAUGUGACUUACUAUGUGACUAUAUUUUACUGAUGGUUUUAAUUAUUACAGUGAGAGAGUGAUAAAGAACUGGGCUAACAUUUUUGCAACCAGUUGAUCUAGAUGAACAAUGCAGUUUAAUGCAAGAACAUUAAGACAUACUUCUUUCAGGUGAGCUAUAAACCUUUGUGUCUUCCAGCCACGGAAUUUGCUCCAUCAGAAGCACUGGACACCUGAUUCUCCAAUGGCACUUGUGUUGUAUUAAACAAAAACUUUAUAGUAGCAAAAAUCGAUGUUCUAGUAUAGUCAGUUUCUAAAGAACUUACAAACAUCCCUUCUUGCAAUACACAAUCAUCAUUGAGACAACAAACAAUUGCCAUUAGGAGGGUUUUAUUGUAACUUUCAUCAAUUUGAAUAGAAAUUUUUUCUUGUUUUGAAUGUGCCAAUUAACUGCUUUUAAAUGUUAACUAACAACUCAUACAUAUGUCUUUGAAUUGAAUUCUUGCUCAAUGGCAGUUCUUUCAAAAUACUGGAUUUUGCUUCAUCACUAUUGAAAUUGCAGUCUAGGCAAAUGUAUGAGCAUGACCAGGUUUUGUAAGGAUUUCUGCAACUUUUUAAGACCCAAUCAUUUCAUCCUCAUUUGUUCAUGUGUUCUUAACUAAGGAAGUAGCAGUGUUACAUUGCUCAAAAUUCUGUUUGAAAUUUUUGAAAUACUCUGUAAGUUUACCUUCUUUAUUAAGAACUAUUACAAUAUAAGACACAUAGACUGUCUUGAGUUUAAUGGGCUUUCAAUAAAAUCAUAGUCAGAUAUUCAGAAAGAUAUUCUCAAUAUUUCUUUUCAGCAGUUGACAAAAUUAAUGAUGGGUUGAAUGACUUUUGUAGAAUUAAAUAAUAAUGUAUAAACUAUUUUUACUUAAUUCUCAAAGUCCAAGUCAUACACAAUAGCACUGAGGGUCAAACAUAGACAGUACCCACAAGGUAGCCAAUGGUGGCCAAUAGACACAGAGUACACCUCUCACCACACAACCUCAAGACAGAGCAAUCCAUCAAAAGAAAGUCUGCCAAUCACAGCCAUCUAUUCACCAUAGUUUUGUAGCAUUGAUCUUUUUAUACCUUUUGUGUAUUUUCCAUAAAGUCAAUGUCAAUAUUGCUCAUGUAAUGCCUAAGAAAACCCAAUAAGAGAAAUGAUAUAAGGAAUAAGAUAUUGUCAGGUAGGAUCGAGCUUUGGAGAACCACAAACUAUUAUGAUAUUUAAGAGUUUUUUUCCACCCAAGAAUCUAUUUUUGCUCUUUUGUGGGCAAUAUUGCCACCAUUCAAAAUGCACGUAUUAGAGGUACUUGUCAUGGGGAAAAAAUGUCAUUUGAAGUUCAUGUCAAGUCCCGAAAGGACAAUCACAUUAGACAUCUGGGGGGUUCUGGUACAAAGCCAUGCCUUCUGCUGCAAAGAACUACAAACCAGUUAAAAAGCAGCUCUGUAGGCUACUGGGCUGUGGUAGGGUUAGAGCAUAUGACCAUGAGACAUCAAGUAGCCACAUACCUAGAGCUGCCCAUUGUGAGCUGAACUCUUUCAGACUUUACCUAGGGACCCACUUUAUAACAAAGGGGUGCAGCUGUGGCACAGGGCCAUGGGGUCUGCUGGUUCUAUCAUAUACUAUAUCCCCAGAAGCCAUCCAGCCUGAUAGGAUGGUGGAACAGACUCUUACAAAUGUAUCUGAGCCUCCGUCUUGGAGACGAUACCCUGUGAGUUUGGUUGGUACCAUAUCCCAGAAUGUGAGAUAACCCAUUAUAUGGUACUUCUGUAUCCCUAAUAGAAUACAAGGGUUUGGGAACCAAGGAAUGGUAUAGGAAUGUCCCUUUAUAUCAUCACUUCCAGGAAGUGAUUUGAGAAAUUGUACUUUUGAGAAAUCUGUACUUUCUAUCCUUGCUUUGGGUUUUGUGGAUCUGGAGGCGCUAUUACCAAAGCACAUAAUAAAAGUAUUGCAUUUCAUGAGAACACAUGGACACAGGGAGGGGCACAAGACAUGCUGGGGCUUGUUGGGGUGAGGGGUAGUGGCAGGGUGAGGUAGAGCAUCAGGAUAAAUAGCUAAUGCAUGCAGGGCUUAAUACCUAGGUGAUGGGUUGAUAGGUGCAUCAAACCACCAUGGCAUAUGUUUACCUAUGUAACAAACUUGCACAUGUAUCCCGGAACUUAAUAAAAUUUAAAAAAAAAGUAUUGCAUUUUGAGCUCCAGCUGUUACCUGGUCACUUUGGGCUCUAUUUUACAAGAGACUAGCAAGCAAGAAAAGGAAUCACUAUCCUGGCAAAAAGUAAUUGUUCCUGAUCGUCAGAAGAAUGUAGGGCUACUACUCCACAGUAGGGGCAGUAAAGAAUGUGUUUGGCACUCAGGCAAUCCAUGGAGCCUCUCUUGGUUUUCCCAUGCCCUUUUGUUACAAGUAAAUGGAUACCAUCAACAGCCACCACC